GUCUAUGGCCAUACCACACUGAAUGCGCCCAAUCUCGUUUGAUCUCAGAAACUAAGCAGGGUCGGGCCUGGUUAGUACUCGGAUGGGAGAAAUGGGCAGAACUCACAGAAAUAAGCA
rnacentral:rRNA from 1 species